rnacentral:rRNA from 1 species
GACGAACGCUGGCGGCGUGCUUAACACAUGCAAGUCGAACGGAAAGGCCCUGCUUUUGUGGGGUGCUCGAGUGGCGAACGGGUGAGUAACACGUGAGUAACCUGCCCUUGACUUUGGGAUAACUUCAGGAAACUGGGGCUAAUACCGGAUAGGAGCUCCUGCUGCAUGGUGGGGGUUGGAAAGUUUCGGCGGUUGGGGAUGGACUCGCGGCUUAUCAGCUUGUUGGUGGGGUAGUGGCUUACCAAGGCUUUGACGGGUAGCCGGCCUGAGAGGGUGACCGGCCACAUUGGGGCUGAGAUACGGCCCAGACUACUACGGGAGGCAGCAGUGGGGAAUAUUGCACAAUGGGCGGAGGCCUGAUGCAGCAACGCCGCGUGCGGGAUGAAGGCCUUCGGGUUGUAAACCGCUUUCGCCUGUGACGAAGCGUGAGUGACGGUAAUGGGUAAAGAAGCACCGGCUAACUACGUG